CGGCACGCCUAACACAUGCAAGUCGAACGAAGUAGCAAUACUUAGUGGCAGACGGGUGAGUAACAUGUAGGUAUCUGCCCUUUGGCCUGGAAUAACACGAGGAAACUUGUGCUAAUACCGGAUAAGUCUUUACGGAGAAAGCUUUAUGCACCAUUGGAUGAGCCUGCACUUGAUUAGUUUGUUGGUGGGGUAAUGGCCUACCAAGACUGUGAUCAAUAGCUGAUUUGAGAGGAUGAUCAGCCACAUUGGGACUGAGACACGGCCCAGACUCCUACGGGAGGCAGCAGUGGGGAAUCUUGCACAAUGGAGGAAACUCUGAUGCAGCGAUGCCGCGUGAGUGAAGAAGGCCUUUGGGUUGUAAAGCUCUUUCGUCGGGGAAGAAAAUGACUGUACCCGAAUAAGAAGGUCCGGCUAACU
rnacentral:rRNA from 1 species